rnacentral:lncRNA from 7 species
AUCCUCCCUGCGCUUUCUCGGUCUAUGGCCGCUCCAUUUGUCCGGCAUGCCUCCUCCUCCCGCUCCACCACCUCCUCCCUCCGCAUGCCACGCCUCCUCCCUCUGCAUGCCACGCCUCCUUCCCUCUAUCGGACGUCACGCUAGGAACAAGGUGAAGAGCGAUAUUGAGGAGGCCAUAGGGUCAGGCAUGGAGGAUUUCGUUCUCCAUAUCGGGCCAAAAGGACAGAGGUGAGCUCCUACGACGUUCCUUGCUCUCAUCCAUGGAGGUGGUGGUCGAGCUAGCCGACGCGGGGUGAGGCUCCUCAUUUGCAUGGGGCGGGCUUCCUCGUUGGUGUUUGAUCUAUCAAAUUGGUGUCUGCUUCAAACUUAUGUUGUUUACUUAUUCUAUAUUUGUAUGUAGUAUCAUCUCUAUUGUUUUUAGCAGUAUAAAUUUUUUAUUUGUAGACACUUGAUGUCGAUGUUAUCUAUGACCCAAAUAAAUUAUUGAAGGAACUGUUCAACAUGGCAAUGUUAAUGAUCCGUAUUUGUAUAACACUUAGUUCUUA